UAGAGUUACCAAACUCCAAACCCAUGUGAACUUACCAGUUUGUUGCCUCGGUAGGCCUCCGCGUCUCGCCUUCGGGCGGGUGUGGGUUAUACAGGUCUGCCGAUGGUCCCAUUAAACUCUUGAAUUACAUUGUAAAUCUGAGCGUUUAAAACAAAUAAGUUA
rnacentral:misc_RNA from 1 species